rnacentral:rRNA from 1 species
UGGGGAAUCUUGCGCAAUGCGCGAAAGCGUGACGCAGCAACGCCGCGUGGGGGAAGAAGGCCUUCGGGUUGUAAACCCUUUCAGGAGGGACGAAGCUUCGGGGGUGAAUAGCCUUCCGGAGUGACGGUACCUCACUAAGAAGCCCCGGCUAACUACGUGCCAGCAGCCGCGGUAAUACGUAGGGGGCUAGCGUUGUCCGGAAUCAUUGGGCGUAAAGCGCGCGUAGGCGGCCAGAUAAGUCCGGUGUGAAAGUCACAGGCUCAACCUGUGAAUGCCGCUGGAAACUGCCUGGCUCGAGUCCGGGAGGGGCGAGUGGAAUUCCUGGUGUAGCGGUGAAAUGCGCAGAUAUCAGGAGGAACACCAAUGGCGAAGGCAGCUCGCUGGAACGGAACUGACGCUGAGGCGCGAAAGCGUGGGGAGCGAACAGGAUUAGAUACCCUGGUAGUCCACGCCGUAAACGAUGGGCACUAGGUGUGGGAGGUGUCGACUCCUUCCGUGCCGUAG